AGUGAACGCUGGCGGUAGGCCUAACACAUGCAAGUCGAACGGCAGCACAGUAAGAGCUUGCUCUUACGGGUGGCGAGUGGCGGACGGGUGAGGAAUACAUCGGAAUCUACUUUUUCUUGGGGGAUAACGUAGGGAAACUUACGCUAAUACCUCAUACGACCUACGGGUGAAAGCAGGGGAUCUUCGGACCUUGCGCGAUUGAAUGAGCCGAUGUCGGAUUAGCUAGUUGGCUGGGUAAAGGCCCACCAAGGCGACGAUCCGUAGCUGGUCUGAGAGGAUGAUCAGCCACACUGGAACUGAGACACGGUCCAGACUCCUACGGGAGGCAGCAGUGGGGAAUAUUGGACAAUGGGCGCAAGCCUGAUCCAGCCAUACCGCGUGGGUGAAGAAGGCCUUCGGGUUGUAAAGCCCUUUUGUUGGGAAAGAAAAGCAGCAGGUUAAUACCCCGCUGUUCUGACGGUACCCAAAGAAUAAGCACCGGCUAACUUCGUG
rnacentral:rRNA from 1 species